rnacentral:rRNA from 1 species
GACGAAGGAUGCAAGCGUUAUCCGGAUUCAUUGGGUUUAAAGGGAGCGUAGGUGGGCUGGUAAGUCAGUGGUGAAAUCUUCUCGCUUAACGAGAAAACUGCCAUUGAUACUGCUAGGCUUGAGUACAGAUGCCGUUGGCGGAAUAUGACAUGUAGUGGUGAAAUACAUAGAGAUGUCAUAGAACACCGAUUGCGAAGGCAGCUAACGAAACUGUAACUGACACUGAGGCUCGAAAGUGCGGGGAUCAAACAGG